rnacentral:lncRNA from 1 species
AAGGGGUUUACACCUCCUUUGAUAUUGGGAUUAAUAUUCUCUCUUCCACUGGAUAUUAGGAAAAAUAUCACACGGGUGGUGUACACCUGCUAUGAUAUUGACAGUAAUAUAAUCAUCUCCCCUUUUGGAUAUAUUAAUAUAAAAAGGGGAAUGUACACCCCCUGCGAUAUAGUGAUAUCAUCCUCUCCCCUGUGGAUAUUAGAAACAAUAUCGCAGGGGGAUGUACACACCCUGUGAUAUUGGAAAUAAUAUCUUCCUAUUCUUUUCUGGAUAUUAGGAAAAAUAUCACCGGGGGGUAUACACCCCCUGCCCUAUUUGGAGUAAUAUUGUCAUCACCCACUUUGGAUAUUAGGAAGACUAUUACAAGGAGGGUAUACAUCCCCUGCGAUAUUGAAAAUAAUAUCAUCCUCUCUCCCUCUGGAUAUUAGAAACAAUAUCACAGGGGUGGUGUACAACCCCUGCGACAUUGGAAGUAACAUCAUCCACUUUCCCCAUGGAUAUUAGGAACUAUAUUACAGGGUGGGUGUACACCUUCUCUGAUAUUGGGAGUAAUAUCAUCCUCUCCCCCCCUUGAUAUUAGGAACAAUAUCUCACGGGGGUGUACACCCCCUAUGCUAUUGGGCGUAAUAUUGUCUCCCCUUCUGGAUAUUAAAAACAAUGUCACAGCAGGGUGUACACCCCCUGCGAUAUUGACAGUAAUAUCUUCUACCCCCUUGGAUAUUAGGAACAAUAUCAAACCGGGGGUGUACACCCCCUGCGAUAUUGGGGGUACUAUCAUCCUCUUCCCACCUGGAUAUUAUGAUCAAUAUCACAGGGAGGACGUACACCCCCUGUGAUAUUUGGAGUAAUAUUAUUCUCUCUCCAGCUGUAUGUUAGAAACAAUAUCACAGAGGAGGUUUACACCCCCUUCGAUAUUGGGUGUAAUAUCAUCCUCUCCCCACCCUGGAUAUUAGAAACAAUAUCACAGGGGGUUGUACACCGACUGUGAUAUUGGGAGUAAUAUCAUCCUCUCCCCUCCCGGAUAUUAGGAACUAUAUUACAGGGUUGUGUACACCCCCUGCGACAUUGAAAGUAGUAUCAUCCUCUCCACUUCUGGAUAUUAAGAACAACAUCACAGGGGGGUGUACACUCCCUGUGGUAUUGGGAUUAAUAUCAUCCUCUUCCUCCGUGGAUAUUAGAAACAAUAUCACAAAGGGUUAUUCCCCCAACCUGCGAUAUUGGUAGUAAUAUCUUCUCCCCUCAUGAAUAUUAGGAAUAAUAUCACAGGGGGUGUGUACAUCCCUUAUGAUAUUCGGAGUAAUAUUAUUAUCUCCCCCUGCAUAUAUUAGGAACAAUAUCACAAAGGGGGUGUAAACCCCUUGCAAUAUUGAGGAUAAUGUCAUACUCCCUCUCUUGGAUAUUAGGAGCAGUAUCACACGGGGGGUGUACACCCCCUGCGAUAUUGGGAGUAAUAUCAUCCUCUCCCCCCCUACAUAUAAGGAACAAUAUCACAGGGAGGAUGUACACCCCCUUCGAUAUUGGGAUUAAUAUCAUCCUCUGUUCCACUGGAUAUUAGGAACAAUAUCACACGAGGGGUGUACACCCCCUGAGAUAUUGACAUUAUAUCGUCUCCCCCUGAAUAUUGUUAACAAUAUCACAAGGGGGAUGUACACCUCUUGCUUUACAGGGAGUAAUAUCCUCCUCUCCACCCACGAUAUUAGGAGCAAUAUCAUGGGGGGGGGUGUUGUACAUUUCCUGCGGUAUUAGGAGUAAUAUUCUCUCCUCCCCUGGAUAUGAAGAACAAUAUCACAGGGGGGUGUACACCCCCUGCCAUAUUUGGAGUAAUAUCAUCUUCUCUGUUCCUGGAUAUUAGGAACAAUAUCACAGCAUGGGGAGUAUACCCCAUGCGAUAUUGGGAGUAAUAUUGUCGUCUCCUCUCCAUUACAUUAGGAGCAAUAUCACAAGGAGGGAAUACACCCCCUGCAAUAAUGGGAGUAAUAAUAUCCUCCACCCCCCCUGGAUAUUAGGAACAAUAUCACAGGGGGGAUGUACAUCCCCUGCGAUAUUGGGAGUAAUAUCAUCUUCUGCCCCUCUCGAUAUUAGAAACAAAAUCAUGGGGAGGGGGUGUACACCACCUAUGAUAUUGGGAAUAAUAUUAUCCUCUCCCCCUGGAUGUUAGGAACAAUAUCACAGAGGGGUGUACAUCCCCUGCAAUAUUAAGAGUAAUAUCAUCCUCUCUUCCACUGGAUAUUAGUAACAAUAUGACAGUGGGGUGCAAUAUUGAGAGUAAUAUCAUCCUCUCUCCCACUGGCUAUUAGGAACAAUAUCGCAGGCGGGGUGUACAGUCCCUGCAAUAUUGGCAGUAAUGUCAUACUCUUUCCCCUAAUAUCAGCCUCUAUUUCACUGGAUAUUAGGAACAAUAUCACAGGGCGGUGUACAACCCCUGUGAUAUUGGAAGCAAUAUCAUCAUCUCCCCGUCUGGAUAUUAGGAAGAAUAUCA